rnacentral:tRNA from 1 species
AGGGGUAUAGCUCAGCUGGUAGAGUGCCGGUCUCCAAAACCGUGGGUCGCGGGUUCGAAUCCUCCUGCCCCUGCCA